rnacentral:tRNA from 1 species
ACCUUGGUGGCUCAGAGGUUAAAGCAUCUGCCUGCAAUGCAGGAGACCCGGGUUCGAUCCCUGGGUCAGGAA